rnacentral:rRNA from 1 species
UGGGGGAAUUUUGGACAAUGGGGGAAACCCUGAUCCAGCCAUCCCGCGUGUGCGAUGAAGGCCUUCGGGUUGUAAAGCACUUUUGGCAGGAAAGAAACGUCGCGGGUUAAUACCCCGCGAAACUGACGGUACCUGCAGAAUAAGCACCGGCUAACUACGUGCCAGCAGCCGCGGUAAUACGUAGGGUGCAAGCGUUAAUCGGAAUUACUGGGCGUAAAGCGUGCGCAGGCGGUUCGGAAAGAAAGAUGUGAAAUCCCAGAGCUUAACUUUGGAACUGCAUUUUUAACUACCCGGGCUAGAGUGUGUCAGAGGGAGGUGGAAUUCCGCGUGUAGCAGUGAAAUGCGUAGAUAUGCGGAGGAACACCGAUGGCGAAGGCAGCCUCCUGGGAUAACACUGACGCUCAUGCACGAAAAGCGUGGGGAGCAAAACAGGAUUAGAUACCCUGGUAGUCCACGCCCUAAACGAUGUCAAACUAGCUGUUGGGGGCCUUCGGGCCUUGGUAGCGCAGCUAACGCGUGAAGUUGACCGCCUGGGGAGUACGGUCGCAAGAUUAAAAACUUAAAAUGGAAUUGACGGGGGUCAUAGCUGUUUUU